GACGAACCGUACGAACGUUAUUCGGAAUCACUGGGCUUAAAGGGUGCGUAGGCUGCGCGGAAAGUUGGGUGUGAAAUCCCUCGGCUCAACCGAGGAACUGCGCCCAAAACUGCCGUGCUCGAGGGAGACAGAGGUGAGCGGAACUUAGGGUGGAGCGGUGAAAUGCGUUGAUAUCCUAGGGAACACCGGUGGCGAAAGCGGCUCACUGGGUCUCUUCUGACGCUGAGGCACGAAAGCUAGGGUAGCGAACGGG
rnacentral:rRNA from 1 species